rnacentral:lncRNA from 1 species
ACCCUUCCUGAAGAGCUGUUGGUUUAAUGGUGGCUAUAAGAGGAGCUGUCAUUUUCCUGGUGUCAUAGCCAUGGGUGGCAGCUAGUGGGGUAAAAGAGACCAAAGAGAAAAGAAUGGCAGAUGGAAAGAGUCACUUUUAACUGGGAAAGCUUCCAAGUACCCCUAGUUCAGACCACGGCUGACUCCUGCUGGCAAAACAAUUCGCCAUUUUAACACAUUUAUGGACCAAUAAUGUUAUAAUAAGGUGUUACAUUAAAUAAUGUUCAUCCGAAUUUA